GUGCAGCAGCCGCGGUGAUACGGAGGGUGCAAGCGUUAAUCGGAAUAACUGGGCGUAAAGGGCAUGCAGGCGGUUCAUCAAGUAGGAUGUGAAAUCCCCGGGCUCAACCUGGGAACAGCAUACUAAACUGGUGGACUAAAGUAUUGCAGGGGGAGACGGAAUUCCAGGUGUAGCGGUGGAAUGCGUAGAUAUCUGGAAGAACACCAAAGGCGAAGGCAGUCUCCUGGGCAAAUACUGACGCUCAUAUGCGAAAGCGUGGGUAGCAAACAGGAUUAGAUACCCUGGUAGUCCACGCCGUAAACGAUGUCAAUUAGGAGCUUGGGGGUUCCGCAGCUAACGCAAUAAAUUGACCGCCUGGGGAGUACGGCCGCAAGGUUAAAACUCAAAUGAAUUGACGGGGGCCCGCACAAGCGGUGGAGCAUGUGGUUUAAUUCGACGCAACGCGAAGAACCUUACCUGAUCUUGACAUCCAGGUGCUGCAUGGCUGUCGUCAGCUCGUGUCGUGAGAUGUUGGGUUAAGUCCCGCAACGAGCGCAACCCUUGUCCUUUGUUGC
rnacentral:rRNA from 1 species